CGAGGAGUUCAGUUACUAGUUAGGUAACGAGCCAGUAGUCUGUGUUCUUCGCCAUUGGAGAGCCUCUACUUACGAAGGGGAUCCAUGUCUCAUCUCUGGAUUCCGGUGCUCAAGGAUCUUCAUGGACCAAGAUUUCGAUGAAAUAGACAGAGACAACUUACUGAAUGGCUUCUUAGCAGAUGUUAUUGACGAUGAUGGUCCAAAUGAUGUGGAAGGAAACUAAAGAAGCUCAUCUAUCUAAGUUGUUUAGUUUGGUUGAUCCGUCUACAUCCUUUUGUUAAUGUUAUCAUUAUGUAAUGAACUUAAACCUAUUUAUC